rnacentral:rRNA from 1 species
CCAGACUCCUACGGGAGGCAGCAGUGGGGAAUAUUGGGCAAUGGGCGCAAGCCUGACCCAGCAACGCCGCGUGAAGGAAGAAGGCUUUCGGGUUGUAAACUUCUUUUGACAGGGAAGAGCAGAAGACGGUACCUGUCGAAUAAGCACCGGCUAACUACGUGCCAGCAGCCGCGGUAAUACGUAGGUGGCAAGCGUUGUCCGGAUUUACUGGGUGUAAAGGGCGUGCAGCCGGGAAGACAAGUCAGAUGUGAAAGCCCGCGGCUCAACCGCGGAACUGCAUUUGAAACUGUUGGUCUUGAGUAUCGGAGAGGCAGGCGGAAUUCCUAGUGUAGCGGUGAAAUGCGUAGAUAUUAGGAGGAACACCAGUGGCGAAGGCGGCCUGCUGGACUGCGACUGACGUUGAGGCCCGAAAGCGUGGGGAGCAAACAGGAUUAGAUACCCGUGUA